rnacentral:tRNA from 1 species
GCGGGAGUGGUGAAAUUGGUAUACACGCAGCCUUGAGGUGGCUGUGCCUUCGGGUGUGGGGGUUCAAGUCCCCCCUUCCGCACCA